GGUCGUGCCAGGUGGCUUGCAGGAUCUUAGUUCUCCGACCAGAGAUUGAACCUGGGCCCUGGGCAGUGUAAGUUUGAAGUCCUAACCACUGAACCACCAGGGAAUUCCCUUUUUUUUUCUUUAAUAAAUUUAUUUAUUUAUUUUUGGCUGUGCUGGGUCUUUGUUGCUGCACGCAGCAAAAAAUAAACAAACAAACAAAUGAAUAAAAAAUAAAACAGGAUGGCACCAGAGACACAAGAACUAAAACCUUAAAAUCCAGCUAAAGGUAAACCUCACUGUGGCUCCUUAAACUUGCCCUCCACCCUCCUACCUCAGGUAUUUGCAGUGCGGUGCCUUCUGCCUAAACUGCCCUCCCCUCUUUGCCCCUCUAACCUGUGAACACGUUGUCCCUCUCUUUGUGGGUCUAGGGCUAUCACAGCCUCCAAAACUCCAUGCAAACGUUCCUUCUCUAAGAUGAACGCUCAGGUUUCUCUCGCCUACACGCACACGCACGCAUGCCCGGCCCUUACCCGAGGGUCAGCCCACCUGGCGUAUAGUCCCCAGCUGGCGCAGGUUUCCACUGAUUGUUAACAAGCCCGUGUUCUUACCUCCUAUGAGUUCCCUGAUGGCAGGAGAAAAUGUGUUAAUUUGCAGAAAGUCCUUCUGCUGACCGUCUCUUCUCUAGGAAACUCUUUUACUUUCCCCAUCAAAUACCCUGGAAGUUUUAUUUUAUUUUUCCAACUUACUUAUUUUGAGAUUACUGCUUGAGUUACUUUAAUAGUUUCAUAGAGGUUAAGCUGAAGAUGACCUUAAAGAUGGUAGUAAUAAUAACAAUGACAGCAGCUGCCAUUUGCUAAAGCUUGCUCUGGGCCAGGCUGUGUUUUAAGAAGGAAUGGUAUACACUAUCUACUAAAUACCAACUAUAGCACUAAAAAGGUGGGCUCUGUUGUCAUCUCCAUUUUAGAAAUGAGGGAACUCGGGCCCAGAGAAGUUAAACAACUUGCCCAUGGUCACACAGCUUGUGAGUAGUGGAGGUGGCACCUCGCUCCAUGAGGCAGAGUAGGCGCAGGGCCUAGGGCCACAACACUUUUAGGGGCCACGGAAAUGUUUUAAUUUCCUUCAGGAUAAGAAGGAAAAAAAAUAAAAAUUUAGGUUGAAGACAAAGUUUUAGUAUAUAAUAUUAACAUAACUGUCUUUAUACCAGUGUUGUUGUAAAAUAUAAUUUUUACUAUUUUCUUAUGGAAGAAGGGAUUCGUGAAGGCAAAAGUGCACUAGGACCCACAAAAGUCAUAAUGUGGCCCUGGUGGAGUCAGAAGUCAAAUCAAGUCAGUAUGCCCCCAAAGUUAAUGUUUUCACUAGUCUAGUGUAACCCCAUAUUACAGGUGAGGAAAUUGAGAUCCAAGGCCACACAACAAAUGCAUGGCAGAGCCAAGCCGAAAAUGCAGGUUUCCAGUGGUCCAACCAUGGUACCCUGUGGUCCAACACCACCACCUAGUGGUCUUACCGGGAACUUCGCUUUAGUCAAAGGAUGAACCUAGAGAGAGGGCACAGGUCCAGAUACCCCCAGGAAGCAGCUACCCGCCUGCCCUUGGACUCCAUACUCAGCAGUGGGGAAGCCAGGCCAAGGCACCAACUCCACAUGCUCUGUUUAGGUUGUCAUCAGAAUUCACACAUCCCCCCUACACACACACACACACACACACAAAGGCACCCCUCUCCCAGGGCAACAGAGCUAUCCCUCCGAGUUAAUACUUGUAAAACACCUAGAUUGGCCCUGUGCGAUAGGAAUAGCAUGUGAGCCAAUGUGUAAUUUGAAAUUUUCUAGUAGCCACAUUAAAAAAGCAAAACGAGGGAAUUUCCUGGCAGUCCAGUGGUUAGGACUUGGCGGUUUCACUGCCGUGGCCCAUGUUCAGCAAGCCAUGCGGCACGGCCAAAAAAAUAAUUAAUUAAUUAAAAAGCAACAAGUAAAACUAAUUUUAAUAAUGUAUUUUAUUUAACAUAGGGGGUCAGCACACUACAGGCAAUGGGUCAUGUCUAGCCCACGACCUGUGGUUUUUUUUUUGUUUUUUUUUGCGGUACGCGGGCCUCUCACCGCUGUGGCCUCUCACGCCGCAGAGCACAGGCUCCGGACGCGCAGGCCCAGCGGCCAUGGCUCACGGGCCCAGCCGCUCCGCGGCACGUGGCAUCCUCCUGGACCGGGGCACGAACCCGUGUCCCCUGCAUCGACAGGCGGACUCCCAACCACUGUGCCACCAGGGAAGCCCCCACCACCUGUUUUUUUAAAUGAAGUUUUAUUGGAACAUAUCCACACCCAUUUGUUUAUGUACCAGCCAUGGCUGCUUUUACACUGCAACAGCAGAGUUGAGUAUUUGCUUAUUUGAGACUGGAUGGCCCACAAAGCUGAAAAUACCCACUACCUAGUCCUUUACAGAGAAAUUUUGUCGAUUCUUGAUUUAACCCAAUAUAUCCAAGUUUGGUCAUUUCAACAUGUGAUUCAAUAUAAAAAUUAUUAAUGAGCUAUUUUACAUUUUUUAUUAUACUAAAUUUCUGAAACCCGGUGUGUCUUUUAUACUUACAGCACAUCUCUAUUUGGAUGAGACACAUUUCAAAUGCUCAGUGGAUACAUGUAGCUCAUGGCUAUGGAACUGGACAGUGUGGGUUUAGAAUAAGGCCCUGCAUGUAGCAAAUAUCAUAGAGGUGCUCACUAAAUACGUAAAUAAAUAAAUUCCCCAGAAGUAUUAAGCCCUAACCACCUGGAACAUCCACUGCUUGUUAUGAAUCAACCCUUUUCCCAUGCUUCUAGAAUGGUGCUAGCAAUGUGCCAUCAUCCUUGAGAGAACUGAAAACAUCAUCACCCAAAUCAUGUUCCAAAAGACUUAAUUUGUUUGCAAAAUCCCAGCUGUGAAAAGCUGCCCUGGUAGCAGCCUGUCCUCUUCUAAGCAGCUUUGCAGCCUUGCUGCCGAUAGAGAUAAUCAUAAUAACAGCUAAUAUAAUUCACAUAUAUAGAGCCAGCCAUUUGCUAGGCAUUUUCUGAGCAUCGUUUCAUUUAAUGACAGAAAUAAUGGUGAUUCCCUCAGGAGGCCUACCCUGACACCCCAUGCUGGCUUAGGCGUCCCCUCUGCGCUCCAAAGGUGCCCGUCUUCCCCCAUCACAGCCCUUCUCACUCU
rnacentral:lncRNA from 1 species